rnacentral:rRNA from 1 species
CCUAAAGUACGGUAACCGCAAGGAGCCGCCUAGGGUAAAAACUGGUGACUGGGGCU